UUCCUUUAAGGCAUGUCUGGAGCUGCCUUUCUCCAUUUGAAUGGUAGUUUAACAGGCAGGAAGUAUCAUGGAAAACCUAAAAUACAGAUAUGAUUGCCAACCAGGAAACUUUGGAAUUUGUGACACUGGAAAGAGUGAGAGACCACACAUGGGGUUGGAGAGAUGAAAGAAUCAGGUGAGAUUUAGAGUCUGGCAACAUGUAAAGCAUAGAUAGUCACAGCCUCUAAGCUAUGAUCCUGCUAAAGCAUGUUGAUUCCUUGUCACUCCUUAUCAUUUUAGUCUUACACCAUUAUAUUUACUCUUUCUCUUUUUCUUAGCUGUAGCGUAAUGGUCAUUACUGUAAUAUCCUAAGAAUACUCAGCAGAUAUGACUCACUGCAUGGCUCUUUGGAGAACACGGGUCCCAACAGUCUUCUCGCUGGUGAAGCACUGAGGCACUUCCCACGCAGCUGUCUGUCUGAUCUUUGUCCAUAAUGGCCUUCUGAUGGAUGUGUCUAGGGACACACAGACCUGCAGAGAAACCCAGGAAGGGACUGAAGAGAUGGGUGGUGCAUUAAGUAGGCCCUUUUGUUGAUGCAGUGGCCUGCUUUUAGAGUGUAUAGUCAACCCUGAAAAUAGAAAAGGGUUGUAAGGUCAAGUAAGAUAGAUUGUGGCCAUGCCAGCUGUCAGACAGUCUUCCAAGAUGUCUGUUAUUUAACCCUGAUAUUGAAUAUAUCAGGGGCUAAAACUGAUUAAAAAGCAUAUAAAAUGCCAUGGGCAAUUUAAUGGGGAAUAAAUAUGUAACAGCGACUUUCUCCUUUAUUUUUUGUAGCUUGCUCCUUAAUCACUCCAGUGACAAGAAACAUGUUUCAUCCUGCCCCUCAAAUGCUUUGCUCUACCAGACACCAUCUGCAUGAAUACGAUAUUCCCAAAGAAAUCUACUUACUGAGUGGUGUGAGGCAAGGAAACAGGAAUAUUAACAGAGAUGUGAAUGUUCAGCCAGCACAUAAACAUUGAUGGCUCCAGGAAAAAUGAUGGCAGAAAGGUUUGUUGUGCUGCAAAGAAAUAUUGUGGUACAUUGCACCUGUGAUAUAUCCACCCUAACAACGGAUGAGGAGAGAAGGAACAUUCAUGAUUUUGCAAUAAUGAGAUUGCUGAUCCACAACCUGCUGGCAAUUUCUGUACAGAGGAAAUAAAGUCAAAUAGAAUUGCCAAGGACCUCAUCUCCAUGCUGAUAACUGCGCAACUCCUCAGACACAUCCAUCCUCAGAUUACUCUUUCUGUUAUUAAAACUUUUAUUUUUAUGGCUAAAGUUGUGGUGAGUGGUCUUGUCCUCUGGGCAGUGAACUAUCUGUAGACUACACAUCUCCAUUUAUUUUGUCAGAUUUUAUGCAUUGGCAAUUUUUUUACUGACAAGACUCAGUCAAAUAUGAAAUUCAAACUGAUAGGUACCAAUUCUAAGAGAUUUUUUCCCUGUUUACCUUUAAUUGUUUUCUAAUUGAUACAAAUAACUAUGUGGAUGCUGCUUUAUAUCAAUUAGUCUCCAAAGAUUAGAGUCAGUUUAUACUGGAGUUAACCUACCACUGUCAAAUUGAAAUAGUGCUUAUACAAAGUCUCAUGACAGUAUAAAUUGGAUUUCAAUUGGAUUUUAAAUAAAUUGGUGCAUUUUCCUUUUGCAGACAAAUCUUUAUUUAAUAACACUACACAUGGUACACCAGAUAUGCAAAAAUUAACACUGAUGAGAUGUUGCAUAAAUGACCAGUGCUCACUGGUUUUCCUUGCUUGAGAGAUCAAGGGUUAAUCAAGGAAACAGGAGGAAGAGUGAAUCAUGCAGGGACUAGAAUGUCUUAUCAGCUGUGACCUGCUCAGCUGCUGAGACACGGAAGAAACAAGGAAGUGAUUUAUAGGUUAUGGCAGUUCAAGACUCACUCUUCAGGAUUUGUUGGAGAAUCAUGAUACUUUUCACCGUGCUCAUCUCUGUCUUGCAAUGCUCCUCAUUUGGGAACUUCCUAUUAGUGGGCUGUUUUCCAUUAGCAUGGCACAAGUUUCCCACUACAUACUGAAAAAAAAAAAAAAAAAAUCCCUUACCUGUCUAUGUCCAUACAGGUUUCUGUAAAUUAUACUGUUGCUAUGAACAAAUAUAUUUAACCCUAGCAAUUUGCAAGCGUACUGAUACAGAGCUAUUAAAGCACCAUUUAUAAGUUGAGAAGGCCUGUCUGCUACUAUUUACAAGUUUGUCUUCCAUUCAACUUCAGUAUUUAGCUUAGAAAUAGAUAGAAUAAAACAAAGUAAAGCAGAUAUGAGUAAGUCACAAGGACUGUGCUUGAUAUGGAGGUCUGUGUCUCUGGGAAAUAUAUUAUGAUGGAUAGUUACUUUUAUAAUCUUUUUGUAUGUCAUUUGAAUGUCAUAAAUAUCUGUCAGAUUUCCUAAAAAAAUAAGUCUUUCUUCAGACAUUACCAGAUACAGAGGAUAUCAUUCAGUUUUCUCACUGAAAGCAAGAAUAAUUUAAAUUGAUCUGUCUCUGCGAACAAUGACCACUGAAAAAGUCUAUAUACCAGGCAUUCUAGCCAGUCACCAAUAAAUGGCAUGUAAACUAAAAAAGAUAGUGUGAGACAUCUAAGUUCUUCUAAAGGUGAAUGUGUACUAUUUUAUUAGGUCUGUUAAAACCUUCAAUACAAAUAGGAAAAGUUAAUUACUUUGCUCUCAUUAUACUAUAUGUACCAUUGCAGUUUUCUUCUAAUCCAGCUUCCUACUCCUAACAACUCUUUAAAGAUAAGAUUCUAAAAGAAAAUAUUUGAUUAUUGAUGCUUCUAGCCAUUUAUUUAAAGACAAGCAUUAGAACUAUUGAAUUAUGCCACCUUCAAUAAAACCUGCAUCUGCAAGUUUAUGUGCUGUGCACUGAAGACAGAGUUUUCCUGGCUAUCAAACUGCCAGGCACACGACUGUCUGCAACCAGUUUCAGGCAAUUGCAGAGACAUUCAGAGAAUGGGUAUAUCUGUCCUAGGCACAACAUGAAACAGAUUAAUCAUAUUUACACACAUGACAUAGACAUGAAGACACUGCACAGAAAAAUU
rnacentral:lncRNA from 1 species